UCAGGUUAAGCUGGGGACGUCUAAAGGAACUGCCUACGCAAGUAGUGAGGAAGCGGGGAUGACGUCAAAUCAGCACGGCCCUUACGUCCAGGGCUACACACGUGCUACAAUGGCCGAUACAGAGGGCAGCUACCUGGUGACAGGAUGCAAAUCUCCAAAGUCGGUCUCAGUUCGGAUCGGAGUCUGCAACCCGACUCCGUGAAGUUGGAUUCGCUAGUAAUCGCGCAUCAGCCAUGGCGCAGUGAAUACGUUCCCGGGCCUU
rnacentral:rRNA from 1 species